GAGUUUGAUCAUGGCUCAGGAUGAACGCUGGCUGUAUGCCUAACACAUGCAAGUCGUACGAGAGUUUUUAACUCUAGUGGCGGACGGGUGAGUAACACGUGAGAAUUUGCCUUUAGGAGGGGGACAACAAUUGGAAACGAAUGCUAAUACCCCAUAUGCUUUCGAGUGAAAUGGAUUUAUAUUUAUCCGCCUAGAGAGAAGCUCGCGGCUGAUUAGCUUGUUGGUAAGGUAAGAGCUUACCAAGGCGACGAUCAGUAUCUGGUUUGAGAGGACGAUCAGACACACUGGAACUGAGACACGGUCCAGACUCCUACGGGAGGCAGCAGUGGGGAAUUUUCCGCAAUGGGCGAAAGCCUGACGGAGCAAUACAGCGUGAGGGAAGACUGCCUAUGGGUUGUAAACCUCUUUUUUCAGGGAGGAAUAAAUGACGUGUACCUGAAGAAUAAGCAUCGGCUAACUCCGUGCCAGCAGCCGCGGUAAGACGGAGGAUGCAAGUGUUAUCCGGAAUCACUGGGCGUAAAGCGUCUGUAGGUGGUUUAAUAAGUCAACUGUUAAAUCUUGAGGCUCAACUUCAAAAUCGCAGUCGAAACUAUUAGACUAGAGUAUAGUA
rnacentral:rRNA from 1 species